rnacentral:lncRNA from 1 species
ACGCUUUUUAUGAUAUGAUAUAGAGCACUAUUACAAACAAUUUAAUAAGGUACAUCUAAGUAAACACUAUUAAGCUUUCUUUGUAUAUAUAGCUUCCUAUAUAUAAACAGUAACAAACAAAUUGGAAUCAAAGAAUAAAAGAAAAUAUAUAGAUAUACAAAUCAAAUUAUCUGCAAUUAAAAUUUGACACAUUCAUUCAUUUAAGACAACCGGAGUCGUUGGAUCGUAUACUAUUUGACAUUUUAAAAAUAAAAAAUAUCGAUUUUGAAAUCUAAAAUAUCUAAGUUAUGAUCCAACAACCAUAAUUGUCUUGACUGCAUUAAUGCGUCAAAUGACUGCAGAGAAUCAUGAUCCAUAUGUAUAACAAUCAUAUAAGUAUGGCGAAUAUAUUGUUUAGUUUCUCCUUCCAAAGAUCUGCCCCAUGGUUGGAAGUUUAGUACCAGCAGUGGAUUGAGAGGAUGAUGAUGUUGGUGAUGGCCUAGUUGUUGGAAAAAGAACAUCCUGAAUGCUA